rnacentral:rRNA from 1 species
AGUAACACGUAGGUAACCUGCCCAUGUGCCCGGGAUAACUUCUGGAAACGGAUGCUAAAACCGGAUAGGUAGCAGACAAGCAUUUGACUGCUAUUAAAGUGGCUAAGGCCAUGAACAUGGAUGGACCUGCGGUGCAUUAGCUAGUUGGUGAGGUAACGGCCCACCAAGGCGACGAUGCAUAGCCGGCCUGAGAGGGCGGACGGCCACAUUGGGACUGAGACACGGCCCAAACUCCUACGGGAGGCAGCAUGC